rnacentral:tRNA from 1 species
GCAGUGGUGGCUCAGUGGCAGAGUUCUCACCUUCCAUGUGGAAGACCUGGGUUUCUUCCCUGGCCAGUGUA